UCCACAGAUGCAGAGACUAACCAGUGUCACAUGUGCGUGUACAGGCGGGGUGGGGGCGCUGAACUACAUGCACCUUGUGGCAGGGGAACUUGCAGAAGAGCCUGAGAAAAGUUUCUCAUCUCCUUUCGGACCUGGAGCAUUUGAAAGUCAUAAAAAAGAAAAGUUUUAAAGUAAAAUUUACGGUUGAGCCUGCCUGUCUGGGAGGAGCUGGCUUAGUGGGCAAAGCUGACGCCAGCCAGGCUGCAGGGGCUGGGAGAAAUUAGACACCAGCUUCUCUGUGAGCCAGCGGGGGGACUCUCCCUUCGACCAGCGCGAUGUCCCCCCUUGGCCAGCAGCGCCCAGCUCUGGAUGCUGCACACCACUUGCUCCUGCGGGAGUGUUUACAAAUUGCUGGGGCUUGGGCCACGCGGAAGACCCGAGCCAGUGUGGUCCUCUGUGGCUGGGGACUGUUCACAGGAAGGUUUUUAAAGCUCUCCAGGCGAUUUUAGUGUGACGCCAGGGUUGAGAACCGCCAAAGAUCUCCGAGCUGGUGGAAAAGGAAGUGGCCUCCUGGUUUCUCCUGGGGGUCAGGUGGACCUGCCUCACGGGUAACCGGGAGGAUGGUGUUAGCAUUCAGCUCUUUGGGAGUUUUAUCCGCUGAGAGGGCCCCUAAUCAAAGGGGAGGGUGACUCUGACAGAUUCCCUUGCGGGGGUGUCACAUCCAUCCAGCAGCCACCCCCACCCCCCAUGCCUCGGAGCAACACGAUCGCUUCCAGUUUCCACAGAGGAGGCAUUUUUCAAGGAAUACGACCACCCAUAUCUUAUUUAAACCUGCAUACUAGUUUUCUACUGAGGAUGUAACACAUCAAUACAAAGGCAGCAAGUGUCUAUGGAACACCACACGCCUAUCAUCUUAUGGUUCUGGAAGUCAGACGUCCAGCCCAGGCUCGCUGGGCUAGAACCAGGGCUGCACUCCUUCUGCAGGCCCCAGGGUAGCAAUUCACUUCCUUCCUUCUUCACCUUCUAGAGGUGCCCACAUUCCCUGGCUUGUGGUCCCUGACUCAAAUCAUUGCAGUCUCCACCUGUCUCGCAUCUCCUUCUGGGUCUGUGGACCCCUCCCGCCCCAUCUCCCUCAUCUAAGAACCCUCGUGGGUCCGUAGGGCCCUCUCCGAUGGGUCAUCUUCUUAGCCGAAGAUCCUUAACUGAAUCAUAUGUGCAAAGUCCCUUUUGUCAUGUAAGGUCAUGUUUGGAGGUCCUGGGGGUUAGAUGUGGACAUUUUGCGGGGCCCGUGAUUCCACGUCUCACACCCUGACAACAGCCACAUGAGUCAGAGGUGCAUUACCAUACCUGAUCAUGAGAAAACUGACACCCACACAGAGACGGCAGCUUCUAGAUGGUGAAGGUGAGGCUACAUUCACGUAACUUCCUGCCUCCACACCACCGCAUGUAGACACCUGACAACUGACACAGGACGGUGUCGCAGCAGAAAGACAUGGCUAGAGCCAGGUGAGCAGGCAUCACAGUGGGGCCCAGGAGGUCUUGUUCUCUCUCUGGACUGGUGCCCAUGGUUCUGGGCUUCCCCCUGACUAGGCAUGGAUGAAUGGUUUGGGGGGUGUGAUAAAAACGUUUUGAAAUUAGAUAGUGGUGAUGGUUACACAACUUCAUAAACAUGCUAAAGAGCACUGAAUUGUGGACCUAAAGGGCCAUAGGGUAGGUGUAUGGAUUACAUAUUAAUUUUUUAAUUUUUAUUUAUUUAUUUAUUGGUCUUUUUGCCAUUUCUUGGGCCGCUCCCGAGGCAUAUGGAGGUCCCCAGGCUAGGAGUCUAAUCAGAGCUGUAGCCACCUGCCUACGCCAGAGCCACAGCAACGCAGGAUCCAAGCCGCAUCUGCAACCUACACCACAGCUCAUGGCAACGCCGGGUCCUUAACCCACUGAACAAGGCCAGGGAUUGAACCCACAACCUCAUGGUUCCUAAUCGGAUUCGUUAACCACUGAGCCACGACGGGAACUCCAACAUAUUAAUUUUUUUUAAAAGACCCUCUAGAGGGAUGCAGAGGCACAAGGUGGUGACUCAGGUGGAAGGACAUGGCCACAUAUGUCCCUCUUCUUAGCCCUCAGUGUUAGCUUGCUUUGCUUUCCUAAAUUGUUCUUUUCUCCUGAUGCCAUCUGCCCAAAGCAAGGCGAAAAUUCUCUUGUUGCUUCACUCAAAGGAAAUCAUUGAGAUUUUUCAUCGAUGACUUUACUGAACAUUUUUAAAGGGACAGAAUGGGGAGUAAGAGUGUAACUGUUUAAAAUGUGAAGGAACUGGCAGGCCUGCUGUGAUGCAGGGGGUUACGGACUGACGGUGGUGUCUUGGGUUGCUGUGGCGGUGCAGGUUCGAUACUGGGCCCAGCCCAGGGGGUUAAGGAUCUGGUAUGGCUGCCACUGUGGCAUAGUUCACAGCUGCAGCUUGGAUUCAAUCUCUGGCGCAGGGAAUUCCAUAUGCUGCUGGGUCAGCCAUAAACAAAAAGCAAAGGAACUGAAGGUGGAUGUGUUUUGGAGUUCAGAUUCCCUGCUCUAAAACAGCCCCAAGGACAGGCCAAGCCAAGGGGGUCUUGAGUUCUUCCCACCCACGCAGCCCCUUCUAAGAAAACCAAACCUGAAGUCCCCUUUGGAAGCUCUGGUGAUAAUUUCCAUCCCUCUCUCCCUCUCACGCUGAGCCUGAGCACCAGGUGGCCCCUGUGUGAUGGUGGCGAUUAGGUUAUUGGUCCGUUCAGUAUAGAUUUCCACCCUCUUCCCCCAAACCCGGAGACCAAAGCGUUGGUGGGUGGAUGGGUGGGAGAGAGCAUAGGUAGAGACCCUCAGCUCUUCCUCCAACCCCACCCCCCAAAAGGAGAGGGCUGUUUCCUCACCCUGCUCCAUAAACCCUUCCAUCGAGCCCAGAGCCCCCCAAAUUACAACUUUUCUUUCAUAGGUCCCUCACCGACUCUUUCAUCUACAGGUUCAAAGAUGACCAAGUCAAUCGUUAGAAUAUCCUGGUAAGGAGUUCCUGGUGUGGCUCAGCAGGUUAGGGUUCAGUCCCUGGCCUUGCUCGGUGGGUUAAGGAUCUGGCAUUGCCACUGCAGCAUAGGUCUCAGAUGUGGCUCAGAUCCUGUGUUGCUGUGGCUGUGGUAUAUAGGCCAGCAGCU
rnacentral:lncRNA from 1 species